rnacentral:rRNA from 15 species
GGGUGCGAUAAUGCCAGCAAUAAAUCACCGGAUCCCAUCAGAACUCCGAAGUUAAGCGUGCUUGGGCCAGAGUAGAACUAGGAUGGGUGACCCCCCGGGAAUUCCUCGUGUUGCACUCC